rnacentral:rRNA from 1 species
UAGGGAAUCUUCGGCAAUGGACGGAAGUCUGACCGAGCAACGCCGCGUGAGUGAAGAAGGUUUUCGGAUCGUAAAGCUCUGUUGUUAGAGAAGAACGUCGGUAGGAGUGGAAAAUCUACCAAGUGACGGUAACUAACCAGAAAGGGACGGCUAACUACGUGCCAGCAGCCUCGGUAAUAAGUAGGUCCCGAGCGUUGUCCGGAUUUAUUGGGCGUAAAGCGAGCGCAGGCGGUACUUUAAGGCUGAAGUUAAAGGCAGUGGCUUAACCAUUGUUCGCUUUGGAAACUGGAGUACUUGAGUGCAGAGGGGGAGAGUGGAAUUCGAUGUGUAGCGGUGAAAUGCGGAGAUAUAUGGGGAAACACCGGUGGCGAAAGCGGCUCUCUGGUCUGUAACUGACGCUGAGGCUCGAAAGCGAGGGGAGCAAACAGG